rnacentral:misc_RNA from 1 species
CUUUUCCAUGAGAACCAAAAUCCAGCUCCUUGAAACUGAUGCUACCACACACCAAGAUAGGGAAAUAUUAAGGAAUCGUGAGAACUAUCAUAUAGCGGUGGAGGGUGGAGAAAGUAAGAAUCCAAUUGAUCGUCUUGGAGCUUUUUUUGAUGGUUUGUGCAAGUAUGCCCGUUAUAGUAAGUUUGAAGUACGGGGGCUACUAAGAACUGGGGAUUUUAACAAUUCUGCAAAUGUAAUUUGCUCUUUGAGCUUUGACCGGGA